rnacentral:rRNA from 1 species
AUUGAACGCUGGCGGCAUGCUUUACACAUGCAAGUCGAGCGGCAGCGCGGGGGCAACCCUGGCGGCGAGCGGCGAACGGGUGAGUAAUGCAUCGGAACGUAUCCUCGAGUGGGGGAUAACCCAGCGAAAGUUGGGCUAAUACCGCAUGAGCUCUGAGGAGGAAAGCGGGGGACCUGCGAGGGCCUCGCGCUGGAGGAGCGGCCGAUGUCCGAUUAGCUAGUUGGUGGGGUAAAGGCUUACCAAGGCGACGAUCGGUAGCUGGUCUGAGAGGAUGAUCAGCCACACUGGGACUGAGACACGGCCCAGACUCCUACGGGAGGCAGCAGUGGGGAAUUUUGGACAAUGGGGGCAACCCUGAUCCAGCCAUGCCGAGUGAGUGAAGAAGGCCUUCGGGUUGUAAAGCUCUUUCGGACGGAACGAAAUGGGCGGGACUAAUACUCCUGUCUGAUGACGGUACCGUAAGAAGAAGCACCGGCUAACUACGUG